rnacentral:rRNA from 1 species
AACAGGAUUAGAUACCCUGGUAGUCCAUGCCGUAAACGAUGAUUACUAAGUGUUGGAGGGUUUCCGCCCUUCAGUGCUGCAGCUAACGCAUUAAGUAAUCCGCCUGGGGAGUACGACCGCAAGGUUGAAACUCAAAAGAAUUGACGGGGGCCCGCACAAGCGGUGGAGCAUGUGGUUUAAUUCGAAGCUACGCGAAGAACCUUACCAGGUCUUGACAUCUUCUGCCAACCUAAGAGAUUAGGCGUUCCCUUCGGGGACAGAAUGACAGGUGGUGCAUGGUUGUCGUCAGCUCGUGUCGUGAGAUGUUGGGUUAAGUCCCGCAACGAGCGCAACCCUUAUUACUAGUUGCCAGCAUUCAGUUGGGCACUCUAGUGAGACUGCCGGUGACAAACCGGAGGAAGGUGGGGACGACGUCAAAUCAUCAUGCCCCUUAUGACCUGGGCUACACAUGUGCUACAAUGGAUGGUACAACGAGUCGCGAAACCGCGAGGUUUAGCUAAUCUCUUAAAACCAUUCUCAGUUCGGACUGUAGGCUGCAACUCGCCUACACGAAGUCGGAAUCGCUAGUAAUCGCGGAUCAGCAUGCCGCGGUGAAUACGUUCCCGGGCCUUGUACACACCGCCCGUCACACCAUGAGAGUUUGUAACACCCAAAGCCGGUGGGGUAACCUUUUAGGAGCUAGCCGUCUAAGGUGGGACAGAUGAUUAGGGUGAAGUCGUAACAAGGUAACC